rnacentral:rRNA from 1 species
AAUAGAUACCCCGGUAGUCCACGCCGUAAACGAUGAGUGCUAAAUGUUAGAGGGUUUCCGCCCUUUAGUGCUGCAGCUAACGCAUUAAGCACUCCGCCUGGGGAGUACGGUCGCAAGACUGAAACUCAAAGGAAUUGACGGGGGCCCGCACAAGCGGUGGAGCAUGUGGUUUAAUUCGAAGCAACGCGAAGAACCUUACCAGGUCUUGACAUCCUCUGACAACUCUAGAGAUAGAGCGUUCCCCUUCGGGGGACAGAGUGACAGGUGGCGCAUGGUUGUCGUCAGCUCGUGUCGUGAGAUGUUGGGUUAAGUCCCGCAACGAGCGCAACCCUUGAUCUUAGUUGCCAGCAUUUAGUUGGGCACUCUAAGGUGACUGCCGGUGACAAACCGGAGGAAGGUGGGGAUGACGUCAAAUCAUCAUGCCCCCUUAUGACCUGGGCUACACACGUGCUACAAUGGAUGGUACAAAGGGCUGCAAGACCGCGAGGUCAAGCCAAUCCCAUAAAACCAUUCUCAGUUCGGAUUGUAGG